GUCCAUGACCAUGCUACCCUGAACAAGCCCUAUCCUGUCUGAUAUUGGAAGUUAAGCAGGGUCAGGCCUGGUUAGUACUUGGAUGGGAGACCACCUAGGAAGACCAGGUGCUGUAGGUC
rnacentral:rRNA from 1 species